GGCCUUGUAGCUCAGUUGAUUAGACCGUUGGCUCUUCUUAAACCUUCUCCUUGCUGGUGUGGGUUCGAGUCCCACCGAGGCCA
rnacentral:tRNA from 1 species